rnacentral:rRNA from 2 species
AAGUCUUGACAUCCUUUGACCACUCUAGAGAUAGAGCUUUCCCUUCGGGGACAAAGUGACAGGUGGUGCAUGGUU